CCAACUGUUGCUAGUGGAACGAAAAUAAAGAAUGAAAGAUUAACCCACUCUCCUCACGAGAUCAGCGUUGGGAAGUUGAAACGUGAAACGCCGUGGGGAGCUAAAAGGUGUGGUAGAUAUGCUCCUCUUAGACGCUAAGGCCUUCGUCCCUCCAAAGUCAUCUUCCCAGUUUGUGAUAAUCUACAGAAACUUAUUAGCAGUAUAACGGCUAAGUCAUCUGUUCUUCUUACUGAUUUGAAGGCUGGUCGCUGUUCUUCGACCGUCUACGGCUAGAAACUUCAAACGCGGUGGCGAGUUGAUGAGAGUGAACUUGCUCCUCCUUGAUACGAAGUCGACCCUCAUGCAAGCCACCGUGAAUUUUCACCGUCUCGCAACUUGCAGGGACAGUAAAUGUCAUUAUCUUUCAUUACUCCUCUUCACAUUCGACCCUCAUACAUGGAUCUAUCACCGUUCAAAGAAGGAUUUAUUUACGAGCUUGGUGUGUUAGAUGUAGCAAGAUCAACCAUCACUUCAAAAUUUCAGGCUCAGUCAUCGCCAUACCUUCACCGCGCUUUAUCAAGUUCAUCAAGAUGGCAGGUGUUAGUUUUCAGCACGUUUAUCAUUUUUCUAAUCUAAUUUUCAUCCCACAAUAAUCUACCAAUGGUACACCCUUUUAAUUAAAGGUGAUUUAAUCUGGGGAUGGUCAACCACAAAGUCUGCCAUAUUUGGUUCGUAGUUGAGAUGUGGAAACGAUAGUGAAGACACGAUCUAGACAUAUUUAAAUAGCUUAUCUUGGUUGUCAAUAUUUUGUUUUCUAAGAGAAAAGACCUCAGCUGGAUAUCCUGCAUUAGUGUAUCACCCUGUAACAUCACAACUAUAAUAUAAAUAAGA